UUCCUGAUUGUUCAACACUGAAGCUGGUCUCCUGUAGGGGAUGUUGCCCCCUAGAAAGGUCCUGGGCCCUCCAACCUCCCUCCUCCUCGCUCAUCCACUUGCUGCCUGCAGCCGCUGAUGGCACUGCAGUACCUGCUGCCAGGGCUCUCCUGCCUUGCCCCGCAGGCGGGGAAUCCCUGAAGCUGGGUGGGAACCCUCCACCGAUUCCUGGCUCCUUGGCUUCUCGCCCCGCCCAGUCAGCACACCUCAGUCGAGUGUGUCCUAAGAGGGGGUCCUGGAGAGGAGAGGUCCACACCCACUCGAAGGACUGCUUGGCUGCUUUGACAGCGCGGCCAUUAAGGACCAGGGCGGGAGCACUUGCUCAGGUCUGGAUCCGCGCUCUGAGCGCAGCCAAUGGUCUAACGCAUAGCCGGUUGAUGGUUAGCGAAAGGACCAAUCCGCAAUCUCUCCACCCGGUGAACAAAGGAAUCAAAUGAUGGUCUGCUUUCGGUUUUUCAAAAAGACGCGGAUUCCAGCCGCUGGAGGGAAGGUACCCUAGCGCGAAAAGCCGGUGUCUCUCUCUAUUGCUUUGGAGGCUGUCCUGGAACUUGCUCUGUAGACCAGGCUGGCCUUGCACUCAAAGAGAUCUUCCUGCCUCUGCCUCCCCAGUGCUGGGAUUAAAGGCGUGUGCCACCAACACCUGAGAACCCAACCUUUUUAUGCGUAAAGUAAGAGUAAUAAUACCUAUCUAAGCAAGCUUUGGAGAAUUGUGAGAGGCAGCUUGUGGAAAGCACUGAGAAGAUGGCCUUGCUGGUCACUGUCUGUCUACGUACUCUUUGUGUCUUUCUAACUGAAGUGUUAGGGUCUGCCAUAUGCUAGGGUUGUUCUGAUGGUGACUUACUGAAGACACAUGAGCUUGCUGCCCUCGGUGGUGCUUGUCCUUCUAGUGAUAUUUAGCACAGCUGGUGGUUCAGUGUUGCAUUUAAACUGCUCUUUCUCUUUUGCAGAAACAGCAGGGGAAAAUGCCACUUCAAACAUAAGCACUAAAACAGUAACUAAUGCUCCUGUCAUUUUGGAUAAACUUUUCAGAUUUCAUUUUUAAAAUUUAAAUUAAAAAUGAUCUUAUUUUACAUACCAAUCCCAGUUCCCCUCUCCCUCCAGCCCUACCAC
rnacentral:lncRNA from 1 species